CCAGACUCCUACGGGAGGCAGCAGUGGGGAAUAUUGCACAAUGGGGGGAACCCUGAUGCAGCGACGCCGCGUGGGUGAAGGAGUAUUUCGGUAUGUAAAGCCCUAUCAGCAGGGAAGAACAAUGACGGUACCUGACUAAGAAGCACCGGCUAAAUACGUGCCAGCAGCCGCGGUAAUACGUAUGGUGCAAGCGUUAUCCGGAUUUACUGGGUGUAAAGGGAGCGUAGACGGCAAUACAAGUCGGAAGUGAAAUACCCGGGCUCAACCUGGGAACUGCUUUGGAAACUGUAUGGCUAGAGUGCUGGAGAGGUAAGCGGAAUUCCUAGUGUAGCGGUGAAAUGCGUAGAUAUUAGGAGGAACACCAGUGGCGAAGGCGGCUUACUGGACGAAGACUGACGCUCAGGUGCGAAAGCGUGGGGAGCAAACAGGAUUAGAUACCCCAGUA
rnacentral:rRNA from 1 species